rnacentral:rRNA from 1 species
GACGAACGCUGGCGGCGUGCUUAACACAUGCAAGUCGAACGGUGAAGCUCCAGCUUGCUGGAGUGGAUCAGUGGCGAACGGGUGAGUAACACGUGAGCAACCUGCCCCUGACUCUGGAAUAAGCGCUGGAAACGGCGUCUAAUACUGGAUACGAGAAGGGUCCGCAUGGGCACUUUCUGGAAAGUUUUUCGGUUGGGGAUGGGCUCGCGGCCUACCAGCUUGUUGGUGAGGUAAUGGCUCACCAAGGCGACGACGGGUAGCCGGCCUGAGAGGGCGACCGGCCACACUGGGACUGAGACACGGCCCAGACUCCUACGGGAGGCAGCAGUGGGGAAUAUUGCACAAUGGGCGAAAGCCUGAUGCAGCGACGCCGCGUGAGGGAUGACGGCCUCCGGGUUGUAAACCUCUUUCAGCAGGGAAGAAGCGAAAGUGACGGUACCUGCAGAAGAAGCACCGGCUAACUACGUG